AUACGGAGGGUGCAAGCGUUGUCCGGAUUUAUUGGGUUUAAAGGGUGUGUAGGCGGUGUAUUAAGUCAGUGGUGAAAGCCUGCGGCUCAACCGUAGAACUGCCAUUGAUACUGACACACUUGAGUAUGGACGAGGUAGGCGGAAUUUAUGGUGUAGCGGUGAAAUGCAUAGAUACCAUAAAGAACACCGAUAGCGAAGGCAGCUUACUAGGUCAUAACUGACGCUGAGGCACGAAAGCGUGGGGAGCGAACAGGAUUAGAAACCCCUGUAGUCC
rnacentral:rRNA from 1 species